UCCUCUUAUUCCCUUUCUUCUGUACAAGUCACCACCACCAUCAUCAUCAUCCAUUCUCUCUCUCUCUCUCUUCAUGUUUCGAAAUAAACACCAAGAACACACACAAGUGUGUGUGAGAGAAGCAGGCCUAAAUCGUUGUUUUUUAAGAAAGAGAAACACAAAAAACAUACACACAAGUGUGUGAGAGAAAGAGAAACAAGAUUCUCCAUCGUCUUUAUCAAGAACACCAAGAUGUGUGAGAGAGAAGCAGGCCUGAAAUCAUUCGGUUUCAUGAGUUUUUAGAGAGAGAAAGUUGUUGGAAAACCAAAACCAAAACCAAGAACACACACAAGUUUGAAAGAGAGAAGCAGGUCAGAAAUUCAUUUGGUUGCAUGUGUUUUUAGAGAGAGAAAAUUGUUAGAACACCAAGAACACACACGUAUGAGAGAGAAGUAGAUUUGAAGAUGAACAUAAGAGAGAAGCAGAUUUGAAGAUGAACAUGAGAGAGAACAGAUUUAGAGAGAGGAACAACAAUCUUCAUCGUGUUCGUCUCGAACACCAAGAACACACGCACAAAGUGGUCUAGUAAUGAUAAAAACUCAAAAUUUGGGGAGUCUUCAAGUUCAGGGCAUAAUUGGGUAGAAGCAGUUGCAGCCAAACGAGAAGGGAUCUUGGCAGGAAGAAAGAUAACCACAAUAUCAGAUGCGACAAAAGGUGGCCAUAAAGCGAAAAAAGGUAUAUGGAGAAACCGAUGAAGAAGUGGAAUAAGAAGUCAAUGAAGGGCAGGUGGUGGGUACCUUUCACGUUGUACUGAAGUUACCCUCUAGUGUAACACAUGUUACAAACAUGUGUUACAUAUGUUUAACCCCUUUGUUACCAAAAAACGGGGCUGCACAUAUGUAAGCCAUGUUUUGUAACUUAUGUUACACUAGAGGGUAACACAUCUACGAUCAUUUUUGGAUCAUUUGUAUAUAGUUAAGUCUGUAUAAACCUACAGCAUCGAUACCCCACAAAAAGGUUACCAUGUUACGACAGAAUGGGAAAUAUGUAGUAGCGUUCAAUACUGUUGUUUCA